AUGGCUCUCAACGGCGGCGCCACCACCGCAGCGUGCAUCCUCGUCCUCCUUGCACUCGCCGGCGCCGCGGGGGCAACCUUCUCGGCGCCGCCGCCGGUGGACUGCUCGGCAUUGUUGGCCGGCCUCGCAGACUGCCUCGACUUUGUGUCGCCCGGCAGCAAGUCGAGUCAACCUUCCAAGGCCUGCUGCGGGGAGGUGAAGACCAACGUCGGCAGCCCCGCCGUCGUGGACUGCGUCUGCGCCGCCAUGUUCUCGAAGCCAACGCAGUUACCGUUCAACAAGACACGGGUGUACGCUCUCCCCGACGCCUGCGGCACGCCCGCCUCCGUCUUGAACAGGUGCCAUGGUGAGCACCGUGCCUUUUCUCACUUCUUCCAUAAUCUUCUUGUCCUGAGUUUGGCUAGAAUCUGCUUCCAUUUUUUACAUCAAGAAACUAGAGCUAAAUCGUGUUGUUUUACUAGGAAGUUUAUCAUUUAUUUGAUUCCUGUGUGGGAUUUACAAUGA
rnacentral:rRNA from 1 species